UACGUAGGGGGCUAGCGUUGUCCGGAAUCAUUGGGCGUAAAGAGCGUGUAGGCGGUCCGGUAAGUCCGCUGUGAAAGUCGGGGGCUCAACCCUCGAAUGCCGGUGGAUACUGUCGGGCUAGAGUGCGGAAGAGGCGAGUGGAAUUCCUGGUGUAGCGGUGAAAUGCGCAGAUAUCAGGAGGAACACCUAUUGCGAAGGCAGCUCGCUGGGACGUAACUGACGCUGAGGUGCGAGAGCGUGGGGAGCGAACCGG
rnacentral:rRNA from 1 species